CAGGUAUCCAUGCAUGUUGCCAACCAACAGCUCUUAUCUUGGGGUGGCUUGGCUGUCAACCAGGCCAGGGGAGCUGACUGCUGGAGGCCUCAUCUCAGAAGCAAAGAAAAGCAUCGUGUCCUUGCUCUAGUGUUUUCCAAGGACUCUAGGCUUCCACAACAAGUUACCAAACCCUGGGUGGCUUAAAACAACAGGAUUUCAGGUUCUCGUCAUCUGGAGGUCUGAAGUCUGGAGUCAAGGAAUCAGCACGGCUCUGCUCACUCCGAAGGCUCCAGGAGAGAACCUUUCUUUGCUUCUUCCAGCAUCUGGUGGCUGCAGGCAUUCCCUGGAUUGUGGCAAAGUGUGUGGUGCAACAGCAGAGUGGAAAGAGAAUGUGUGGAUCAGACAUACCUGGGUGGAAACUGACUUUACCAACGACUGGCUGGCUGCAAGACCUUGGCGAUUAUCCUUAACCUAGCCUCAGUCUCAACCUGUGACACGGCAAUGGCAGCUUAGAGAGGUUAAGCUACUUGAGUCACACCCGUGUCAGGUGGAGGAGCUGAACCUUGGAUGCAGGAGUAUCCGUUUCUACUGUCUCAACUCUUCCUAACUGCUUUGGAAUGACAGAAUGAGGAAAUGCACCCAACGUGAAUUUUGCGUUCACCAUUACCUGCAAAAUGUCAGUGGCUAAUGCCAGCUUUGGCUGACUGUCCUGAUAUCCAGAGCAAUGGUUCCUAAAUUUUGGUCCACGGUCCAGUGCCAGCUUAGGACCAAGGAUUCACAGUCUUUGAUGUGAGGAAAAUAAGAACAUAAAAUUGGCCAGGCGUGGUGGCUCACGGCUGUAAUCCCAACAAUUUGGGAGGCCCAGGCGGGCAGAUCACCUGAGGUUGGGAAUUCAAGACCAGCCUGACCAACAUGGUGAAACCCCAUCUCUACUAAAAAUACAAAAACUAGCUGCGCAUGGUCGCGCAUGCCUGUAAUCCCAGCUACUCAGGAGGCUGAGGCAGGAGACUCACUUGAACCCGGGAGAUGGAGGUUGCAGUGAGCUGAGAUCACACCACUGCACUCCAGCCUGGGUGACAGAGCGAGACUCCAUCUCAAAACAAACAAACAAACAAACAACAAACAAAAAACCCAUAAAAUUAAAUGUAUUAAAUUAAAGAACUGCCUUAACUAUGAGAUCAUGUUCAUUCAUUUUUGAGAGUCAAGUGACCCUUCCUUUCAUGAAAUAAUGGUGAUACCCUGAGGUCAGGAGUUCAAGACCAGCCUGGCCAACAUGGUGAAACCCUGUCUCUACUAAAAAUACAGAAAUUAGCCGUAUGUGGUGGCAGGUGCCUGUAAUCGCAGCUACUCGGGAGGCUGAGGCAGGAGAAUCUCUUGAACCUGGGAGAGGGGCUGUUGCAGUGAGCCAAGAUCACACCACUGCACUCCAGCCUAGGCAACAGAGCGAAACUCCAUCUCAAAAAUAAAUAAAUAAAUAAAUAAAUGAAAUAAUGGUGAUAGGAAUUCGUAGUUUUGUUGUUGUUGUUAUUUUUGUUUUUAAGUGCUCUUACUUGGCAAAAUAAACUUAUCAUACUGAGUUGAAAUCCCACUUUUUUUAGAUUGCUGUGGAAUCCCAAUGCCUGAGAAUGAUUGCUAUGGAGAAAGGAGGAAGUAAUAAAGUCCUGGGCCUCUGAGAGCAAAUAGGGAGGUGCCUUUAAUGGAUGAUUUUAGUGGAGACUGCAAUAAAAAUUCCUGUUCAUAAAUAUCACCUUUUCCACUGUGCCCAGCUUACUUUGAGUAGCCCUUGAAAAUAGGACCUAAAAUUCAU
rnacentral:lncRNA from 1 species